GACGAACGCUGGCGGCGUGCUUAACACAUGCAAGUCGAACGGAAAGGCCCUGCUUUUGUGGGGUGCUCGAGUGGCGAACGGGUGAGUAACACGUGAGUAACCUGCCCUUGACUUUGGGAUAACUUCAGGAAACUGGGGCUAAUACCGGAUAGGAGCUCCUGCUGCAUGGUGGGGGUUGGAAAGUUUCGGCGAUUGGGGAUGGACUCGCGGCUUAUCAGCUUGUUGGUGGGGUAGUGGCUUACCAAGGCUUUGACGGGUAGCCGGCCUGAGAGGGUGACCGGCCACAUUGGGACUGAGAUACGGCCCAGACUCCUACGGGAGGCAGCAGUGGGGAAUAUUGCACAAUGGGCGGAAGCCUGAUGCAGCAACGCCGUGUGCGGGAUGACGGCCUUCGGGUUGUAAACCGCUUUCGCCUGUGACGAAGCGUGAGUGACGGUAAUGGGUAAAGAAGCACCGGCUAACUACGUG
rnacentral:rRNA from 1 species